rnacentral:snRNA from 1 species
GUGAACGAUACAGAGAAGAUGAACAUGGGCUCUGCACAAGGAUGACAUACGAAUAUUUUUUUUUUCUU